rnacentral:lncRNA from 1 species
CGAAUAAUUGGUAUCCUACAUGGACACCUGAGGAAUAGGCUACAUGAAGAGACAAAGUGCAUGAGGACUCCACAUGGAGUUGUUCCAUUUGAGCAUGAAAAACAUAAAGUAUCAUGGCAAACUUCUCGAGCAUCUUUGACAUUCUUCUAUGGUCAAUGGCCAUACUAUUAAGAUGUCAGCAUGGAAAAGCAUCCACAAGAAAUGGCUAGUUUUAACUUCAGACGGUAAAACAAAACAUUUGAUGCACAGCAUAUCAACCGCCAGCAAAUAUCAUACAGACGAGCAAGCUAAUCCUUCUAUAGACCCUGCAAUUAUA